GAGCUUGUAUCGACAAGAUACGUUUUACGUUGACAUUCUACCAGAAGCAUUUAAAGUUCCUUUCCUUAUUGCAUAUCGUAAUUUCGAAAGAACCUAAUUUCUUUUCGCAAUUCUAUUAAUUCAGUAAUAUCUAUUUCCAUGAUUAUCAAAAAGUACGAGUGAUACGGGAUAAGAUUAAUUGCGUUAAUAUCGAUUAUAAGAAAAUUUACAAAAUCAGAAGAGAUCUAAUAAGCCGUGGAACGAAUCAUUGUUGAAUGUCGAAGACUCCGUUGAACUGUGACUGCGAUCGUCCCGAUCCGAUAAUAUUUAAGAAGAGAAGAAACAAAACAAUCGCUUGUAAUUGUGGCUGGGAGGGGAAAUUCGUUUACGGCGUUUCCCUCACCUUAGCUAUCUUCGAAAUAAAACGCUUUUUCAUGUUGUUACUGGAGAUAAUAGCUGAAUGGCAAGUGAUUCGAUUCGCUGGUGGUUUACGUCCUGUUGUUCUCACCUUGCUCGACAUUAUCGUUGGUUUGCCAACAGCUAUGUUAGCUGUUCGUAUUAUACGCAAAUACAAAAUGUCGCUAUGUUGCUCGAAACUUAAGAAACUAUUUAAAUGCCUUUUAUUUGUAAUAACGAUGUGCGUUCUUCUAAACAUCGUGACCCUGAUCUCCAUCGGAUAUCAUAUUAGCGUAAAACAGAAAACUCUUGUAAAUUUAUUCAACGCUUCGAUGCAUCUUUACGUUAACAUGGCGUCGUACAAAUAUGCGAUAGACGAGUUACAAUUCGUGUUCCAAUGUUGCGGCCAUACUUCUUACACCGAUUGGUUUCUUUUCGAUUGGCAGAUGGCGGAUUAUGCGCCACGUGACGAAAUGAUUUAUGAUAACGGAAUCUCCGACGAAGAAUUUCGAGAUCGUGGAGUACCAUUUAGUUGUUGUAGCUUACGUUCGAUGACUCCAUGCGUACACGCCGAGAUGAUGGAUAAGGAUAUUAAAAGUAUCAAUGAAAAUGGUUGUGCGGAAGUUAUCAGUCCAGUUAUAAUUAGGAUCGUCGUGAUAGCAUAUGUCAUGACUACUACAUUGAUCGUCACGCAAGCUCUAUUAGCUUUUUUGAUAGCAAGAAUGAUCGAUAGAAUUUCUGAAAGAAUUCGAUUUCCUGUCUCUUCUUUGAGCUCGAUGGACGGAUCUACCUGUGUCCUUUCAGAAACGAAUAGCUCGAGUAAGAAGAAAAACGAUCGUUAUAUUACUUCGUCGGUCUGUAAAGCGGUACCACGAGAUAAAACAAAGUCUGGACAAAAAGGAAUAAAGAUAAAACGUUUAUCUCCUAUAAAGAACGGAUCUACAAGAAGAAAGAAAAGUCGACAAAAAUCUUUGCAUUCUUCUCCCUCCCGAUGUAGUUCUCCUACUAUGGAAUACACUAUUGAAACUUCUGAGGUAGCGAGAAUCAAACCGAGUACUCACGAGGAGCAUAGGAUAUCAAGGAAACGUUUGUUAACCAAACGAAUUCGUUGAAUUUGUUAAUUUCAUUAUAUGCACUUUUCUAAGCGCGAACAAUGAGAGAACAAAGACGCGAAGAGAUUAUGACCGACUGAAGAAGGAUUACGCGUUAAGAUUGCAAUUGAAAAAUACUCCGCAGCACGAAAUAUGAAUGGAAACGAGGAAAAUAUUUCGUCACGCGUGGAAUACCGUGUGAAUGCCGGUAUCCAAAAUACAAGUAUUAUUUGUUAUGAUUGGAGGUAAGUUGUCUAAAAGGUGGGAAGCAUAAUCGUCGACAAAGCGAUGGUGGGGGACUAGUGGAUCCCCUAUUUGAAUUUCGUAGUCGUCGCGACUGGAUCAGUACAGUCCAAAGCAUCGCACGAGGUGGUUUGUAAAGAAUCUAAGGAAAAAGGAUUAUUUCGAUAGAACCGAGUUCUCAUGAACUGUGAAAAUAUCAUCAGGAAGAAUUUUCCUUUGAUAGCGACGAUCCUUUUGGGUUAUCAGUGAAGGAAACGAUAUCGUACGCUUCGCAGAACGACGACUCGUCUGGCCGAGUUCGUGCACGUGGUAGUUGAGAGUGUGAAGUGUGUUAGGUUUACUCUUUCUCUCUCUCUUACUCGCUGCGCUUCUCUCUCUCCCUCUCUCUCUCUCUCUUUCCAUCUGUCUAUCCAUCUUUUACUUGCUGUACUUCUAUCUCUUUCUAUAUAUCCUUCUCUCUCACGUGCGACGCUAUUGGUCGAGGUCGUGUGUAGAGAGGAAAAGAAAGAAAUAAUAAGAGGCGCGUUUUCUCGUUUCGCGAGACGAUCACGAAUUUACUGUCAUUCUUGGAAAGUUUCGGAACAAGGUUGAGAGAAGGAAGAAGAGGAAAAGGAGAGACAAGGAGGAGAAAUUCGAAUAUCUUGGAAGGAGAAGAAACUGGCCGGGAAGA